rnacentral:misc_RNA from 1 species
AUAAAGUAGGUAUUUGCUAGUAUAAAGUAGGUAUUUGCUCUAAAUCUUAGAAUGGCAACGGAAAAAAAAAAAUUAUAUGAUGCUAGUGAUUUUUUAUAUGUAGAUUUUCACUUGGCUGAUACAAAUUCUAAAACAUGUCCCCCCCUUUUCCAUGUUCCUCUUCGUGAAUUAGUGCUAAUGUGCAAAGAGCGAAGGCUUUUAUUAGCCUCUGAGCCUCUUUGAGUCAUAUUUCACUUGGGCCACUAGAGAAAACAUUCUAAAAGGCACUAAGGAUGCACUUGGUGUGAGAUAUAGGACAAUAUGGAAUAAGAAAAUAGACGACAGAACAAGACAAGACAUUCUUAUCAUGUCUUGUGUUUGGUAUAUGUUAUGGAGAAGACAAAUUAAUUAUAUAAAAUAAUUAUUGAUAUUUUAAAAUAUAUAU